GCUGGGAUAACUCAGGUGGUAGAGCACAAGACUCUUAAUCUCAGGGUUGUGGAUUCAAGCCCUACAUUGGGGAGCA